rnacentral:rRNA from 1 species
UACAGAGACCUCAAGCGUUAUCCGGAAUCAUUGGGCGUAAAGCGUGCCGAUAGGUGGUUUGGCGAGUUUUUCGUAAAAUCCUUCCGCUUAACGGGAGAACCGCGGAGAAUACUGCCAGACUAGAGGGGCAAAGAGGUGCUUGGAACGAAUGGAGUAGCAGUGAAAUGCGUUGAUAUCAUUCGGAACACCAAAAGCGAAGGCAGAGCACUGGGUGCCACCUGACACUGCUAGGACGAAAGCGUGGG